rnacentral:rRNA from 1 species
AUUGGACGCUGGCGGCAUGCUUUACACAUGCAAGUCGAACGGUAACAGGCCGCAAGGUGCUGACGAGUGGCGAACGGGUGAGUAAUGCAUCGGAACGUGCCCAGUCGUGGGGGAUAACGCAGCGAAAGCUGCGCUAAUACCGCAUACGAUCUAUGGAUGAAAGCGGGGGACCGGAAGGCCUAGCGGGGUUGAAGCGGCCGAUGUCAGAUUAGGUAGUUGGUGGGGUAAAGGCUCACCAAGGCGACGAUCUGUAGCUGGUCUGAGAGGACGACCAGCCACACUGGGACUGAGACACGGCCCAGACUCCUACGGGAGGCAGCAGUGGGGAAUUUUGGACAAUGGGGGCAACCCUGAUCCAGCAAUGCCGCGUGCAGGAAGAAGGCCUUCGGGUUGUAAACUGCUUUUGUACGGAACGAAACGGCUCUGGUUAAUACCCGGGGCUAAUGACGGUACCGUAAGAAUAAGCACCGGCUAACUACGUGCCAGCCGCCGCAGUAA